UAGGGAAUCUUCCGCAAUGGACGAAAGUCUGACGGAGCAACGCCGCGUGAGUGAAGAAGGAUUUCGGUUCGUAAAACUCUGUUGUUAGGGAAGAAAAAAUGUAUAGUAACUAUAUACAAAAGAGACGGUACCUAACCAGAAAGCCACGGCUAACUACGUGCCAGCAGCCGCGGUAAUACGUAGGUGGCAAGCGUUGUCCGGAAUUAUUGGGCGUAAAGCGCGCGCAGGUGGUUUAGAAAGUCUGAUGUGAAAGCCCACGGCUCAACCGUGGAGGGUCAUUGGAAACUAAUAAACUGGAGGGCAGGAGAGAAAAGUGGAAUUCCUAGUGUAGCGGUGAAAUGCGUAGAGAUUAGGAGGAACACCGGUGGCGAAAGCGGCUUUUUGGCCUGCAACUGACACUGAGGCGCGAAAGCGUGGGGAGCAAACAGG
rnacentral:rRNA from 1 species